rnacentral:rRNA from 1 species
GACGAACGCUGGCGGCGUGCUUAACACAUGCAAGUCGAACGGAAAGGCCCUGCUUUUGUGGGGUGCUCGAGUGGCGAACGGGUGAGUAACACGUGAGUAACCUGCCCUUGACUUUGGGAUAACUUCAGGAAACUGGGGCUAAUACCGGAUAGGAGCUCCUGCUGCAUGGUGGGGGUUGGAAAGUUUCGGCGGUUGGGGAUGGACUCGCGGCUUAUCAGCUUGUUGGUGGGGUAGUGGCUUACCAAGGCUUUGACGGGUAGCCGGCCUGAGAGGGUGACCGGCCACAUUGGGACUGAGAUACGGCGCAGACUCCUAAGGGAGGCAGCAGUGGGGAAUAUUGCACAAUGGGCGGAAGCCUGAUGCAGCAACGCCGCGUGCGGGAUGACGGCCUUCGGGUUGUAAACCGCUUUCGCCUGUGACGAAGCGUGAGUGACGGUAAUGGGUAAAGAAGCACCGGCUAACUACGUG